rnacentral:tRNA from 1 species
GGAGAGGUGGCAGAGUGGCCGAAUGCGCCGGCUUGCUAAGCCGGUGAUCUCCUUAUGGGGAUCCGAGGGUUCGAAUCCCUCCCUCUCCGCCA